UUGCCGAUGAAGAAAUCAUUCAGUAAAAACACCAUCUUUCGGGACUGAAUGGCUUUGUUGAGCGCUGCUGACAUUCUGCAAUUCUGAGGCCU